rnacentral:rRNA from 1 species
UCCUACGGGAGGCAGCAGUGGGGAAUUUUGCGCAAUGGGCUAACGCCUGACGCAGCAACGCCGCGUGGAGGAUGAAGGUCUUUGGAUUGUAAACUCCUGUCAGCAGGGAAAAAGGGAGCCGGCCUAAUACGCCGGUGACUUGAUUGUACCUGCAGAGGAAGCCCCGGCUAACUCUGUGCCAGCAGCCGCGGUAAUACAGAGGGGGCAAGCGUUAUUCGGAAUUAUUGGGCGUAAAGGGCGCGUAGGCGGCUUUUCAAGUGACGGGUGAAAUCCCUCGGCUUAACCGAGGAAUUGCCUGUCAGACUGGAAGACUUGAGACCGGGAGAGGUGAGUGGAAUUCCCAGUGUAGCGGUGAAAUGCGUAGAUAUUGGGAGGAACACCAGUGGCGAAGGCGGCUCACUGGACCGGAACUGACGCUGAGGCGCGAAAGCGUGGGGAGCAAACAGGAUUAGAUACCCUGGUAGUCCACGCCGUAAACGAUGAGUGCUUGGUGUAGCGGGUAUCGACCCCUGCUGUGCCGAAGUCAACACAUUAAGCACUCCGCCUGGGGAGUACGGUCGCAAGACUGAAACUCAAAGGAAUUGACGGA